CCUGCCUCAUUUUCUUCACUAUGAAAAGCUCUGACAUGACAUCAUAAGUUCACUGUGUCAAACCAUAAUAAAGCCCUAAUUAAACGCUUCCUGUUCAAAGAAUUGCCUUGGUCAUGAUAGUUCUACACAGCAAUAAUUAGUAACUAAGACACCUGCUGAGGACUUGUCCAGGAAUAUAACACAUACCAGUAUUAUCUUUUGGGAUGUGUAAUCACAUUUCAGUCAUACAUGACUUUAUGAAUGGCCACGUGUAGGAAACGCGUGGCACUCUUUCUGAACUAAGAGUCUUGGAAAUAGUCGUCAUCAUUUCUGGGUUGUAUGCUUUCAACCGCCCACAUUGCAGCCAGACAGGGCUGUUCUAGCCUUCCUUUCUAGAUUGUUGUCUACUCUGUCUCUUUUAAAACAUGGUUUCUAAGAUUAAUAUUGGCUUUCAUCUGCCUUAUAACAUCAUUUUCCCUCUUAGCCAAUCAGCACCUGAUAGAAUCUUGAGGUUACCAUGGAGCUGAGUAAACAAUUCUGGUCCAGUGUUCAGUUGAUCUGCUUCAUCGCACACGUGAUUUGUUUUUCUUGCGAAACCCAAUAACCCGUUUCCUUAUCCCUUUAUCCAGAACCUAUACCUCUACCUGUAUUCCUGCCUCCACAAUGUCAGGAGAGAAGCUUUUGAUACCUAGGCACUCACAACAACAGAGUCUAGGAAAUAAAAGAUCAUUUUCUGCUGAAACAGCAAAUGUAAACAUCCAUGACAUGAUGAUGUCACUCUCCCUCCAAACGAGCCGUUCCAAAUUUUAAGUGCUCUUGGGCAGAACAUUGAAAUCAACAACAAUUUUUCCUUGGCCACAUACAUGAGUUUGAGAAAGAUCUCAUCAAAAUGGCAGCGAAACAGGAUAAAUGUGGAGAAGAAAAAGCAGCCUUUGUGCCAAAUCAUAAAUUUCUAACGUGAGAAACCUGCAGUUUCUAUCUCCUUUCCUGAGACUCCUCACUAUCUCAUCCUGCUUUUCUAUAUAGAUUUCUUUCCUUGCUGACGCCCAUGGAAUCUGUGGACGUCAACUUGUACUCAGAUGUCUGGCAGUGCACACAUAUGUUUUUCCUUGCAGUCGAAAGAUAUGGGGAACAAAAGUGCUGAUAUCAUAAAUAAAUAAUUUCAUUAGUAGUAUACUUAGUUCUUAAGCCUUGUGCACACAUAGUACAGCUCACAGGGGAAGAAAGGUUGGAAGAAAAACAGGGUGUCGCUGAACUAGUGAGUAUUUAGACUUCCAAAUCUCCUCUCAAGCAGAUACAUAGUUGUCUCUGAUGGGUGGCCAAGACUCUUGAGGUGUAUGGGGGAGAGGUAGGCCUUCCUGUAGCUACACAGUCACCAGAGGAUGGUGGACCACCUGGAGUCAGUGUGGUUAAGCAGAGCUUGCCUUCUACAGACUGUUCAUCAUAUUGGGUAGGCAGAAGAAAAAUAAAUUACAGAGCUGUCACCAAGAAAUAACCUAAAAAGCCUUAGUGACAAGGGGUGCUUUGCCUUUGAAUAACAGAAUAACAGAAAAUGUCACACAAAGCAUGAAUGGCCCUGAGUUUGGUCAAAGAGUACAUAUGAAGUUACCCGUGACUCUAAGGUACUCAGAGAUUGGGUUGCAAGGGAGGAAUUUUUCUGAUCAUGACUUCAUUGAUCUCCAGAAGACUGUGUGCAUAGCUUCACCUUCCUCUUUCACAGAGGACAAAGCUCUGAUUUACAGAUGAGCUCAGGUAGCGCAGUUUGCAUUAUUUAUAUUGUUCAACUCCUAGAACUGAGGUACUUUUCGUUGUCCAUUGGUGGUUUUCAGUAAAGUGCAGGCAUUCUCUUAAGACCAUAGUAAUCUCCCCUCAUUUCUUCCCUGUUCCAAAAGCAAAUAUCUCUUCCCAGGGACUCAUAUGUCAUCCCUGACAUCAGCUUUCCAUACUGAGUUUCUGGUCAUAUCUUCCUCUCAAGUAGAAUUUCUUACAGAGUUGAUCUUUUUUUUUGAAUUGUGGACAGAUCUGAGGGAUAAAGCAGUUUAGCAGAAUCUCAAGGUGCAGCAUUUGAUUAAAUGCCCACAGCACUAAGUAACCUCAGUGUCUCCUAUCAUUACCUAAUGAUCUGUGAGGUGAGGUGGUGCAAGUCUGCUAAGCAAUAUACAGAGGAGCUGUGUGCAAAGAUUCAAAUCGUGAAUGGGAAUGGAAUAUAGAGACUGCUGUCUUUAUUUCCUAGUUUGAAGUUCAGGAGUACAACCUUUUACCUCAAGGCUCAGUGGGUCUACCUGGUCCCUUCUGAGUGCUGAGAUGGCGAACAUGCACUGUGUCAGACUAGCUGUGCUCGUUGACAAGUAAUGUUUGCUGAAUGUGCCAGGUUAGUGGAAGACUAAGGUACUUCUCUCUCCAGGCACAGGGAUGGGAAUGGAUGUUGGAUUUCAGGAUGUGAGUUUUUAAACUCCAGGAACUUCUGAAACCAUGCAUACUCAAGCCAAAUUUCCUCAAGUUCACAGUUGUAUAUUUCAAUUUAUCUGUGUAGCCUAGUCACUCUACUCUAUUCCUUUAGACUCUAUGUGUUGAAACUUCCCAAGGAAAGGAAAUAUAAAAACUAUGCUGCCAGUGCUAGAAGAGCAAACAUCAUCAAGGUGGGACUUCAUUCUCUAUGUGGCUAACCAAAUAUCUCCAGAGGAGUGCAAGGCUGCACAUAGAAAAGCCACAGAUGCUGACACUAGUUCAAAGGGAAGGAAAUGCUGCCUUAGGAGUUCAGUAAAGAGAAGGGGCUGGCAGGGAAUGGAGUUCAAGUCACAAAUGAGAUAUUGUUGCCUCUCCUUACUUGUUUUCUUUGUCUCUUUUCUGAUAUUAGAACUGUCCUGAUUCUCCAUUUUGGUAUUGUAUUGCAGACUAUAAAAAACAGGUUUGAGAGGGCAGAGGAGCUGAAGGAGAAGAUUCUAAGGGAGUACAAAGAAGAAUACACAAACUACCUGGAAGAAAAAAUCAGUGAGGAGGAGCAAGGAAACAGAAUUGUGUGUCAAGUACAUUGUCUUUUCCUAGUAGUUUUGUGCUGUUUCAGUGGAUUGUGUGAUUCUAGGAAAGAGCUCCACAUGCAUUUUGUGCUCCUGUGCGCAUGCACACGUGUACACACACACACACACACACACACACACACACACACACACACACACACACAAUCGAGUACGGUAAUAAGAAAACUGAGACCAAACAUUACUGAAGACUGAUAGACGUACAGGAACUGAAAAAGCAGGAAAUAGUGGGUUUCCACCAAACUAGAGGUACAGAACCUAGGCUAAGCUGUCAGACCUGAACAGAACUAUACUUGAUUCAUAUCUAUACUAACAAGACUUUUCUUCCAAGAAUUGAAGUAUUGACCCAAAUCCUUUUGCCUUCCUGCAGAAGAAUAAAGAAGAGAAAAUAGACCAGAAGAAAGCCUUCUGGGAAGACAUAAGAGAAAUCCUGUGUAUGGCAGGAUUUUCUAAAUGGGCUUCCUUUCCUUUUGCACAACUCUAUGGUGAAAGAAACAAAGGUAAGGAGGUGGGCCAUGGAGCAACAUUACCAAAAAGAACCUUCAGCCCACCAGUAGAGUCUUUACAAAAGGAAUCAUGUGAUGAAGUAACCCCAUGAAAAUCAGCAUCUGCCAAGGAGGCUGCAAAAACAUUCAUCGAGGGAAGGCUGGGUGAGUCACCACAGGUUUCUGACUUGGACAACCUGGUAUAGACGUGCUUCCACUGCAUCUGGGUCAACCACACAGGAGUAACACUGAAGCUCAAAAGUAAGGCAAGGUAGAGUUGUCUGAAGUCUGGAGCACUGAUCCCAACAGAGAACACUGGAUCAUCUGCCAUGUCCUCAGACUUCUGUUUCCAUGAAUCCAUUUACUCUCCUAUGAUAAGAACCUCCUGUGAUGAAUGGUGUCUUUUUUUUUAACUGCCUUGCUGUUGUCUUGUGCAGAAAUCAAUAUUUCUGGAUGUGUCUGUAAUUCGAUUGUAAAGAAAUUUCUGAGCUUGCCCUGAAGUUCUAAGGCCACAAAGGGACUUCCUCAUCCAUACAACAUAACAUGACUACAGACAGACUGUGGUGGUCUGGACUCUGUGUAUAUAUUUGUCCUGUCUGCAACACGUUAAUACUUGAUGGGGUUUCUCACAACCUCACAGCUCCUGGUAAAAUGUCCCACACUUUCUUCAAGGUGGAUGCUACGGGAUAUUAGGUGUUUGGCUCAAUCUAUGUCUGGAAGUCACAAACCUUGUAAGACAUGUGUGUCAGGUUAAGUUUAAGGCAACACUCAGAAGUACACAGGACAACACAAGUCCAGACCUUGAGUCCAGAGGCAAAAAUCUAGAGAUAGGAACUAAGAACAAAGAAGACAUGUCUGUACCAGGGGAGACACAGCAAAAGUUUUCCAUUUCUCUGGCUGUUUAGCUUACAGGACUCACCUGAGUUAGGAGAGUACUUUGUCCAAUGAGUCUGUGUACACACAGAGAAAUUUUACAAUCAGCUCAUAGUUACAUCAUGAGAUAUUGCUUGAUCUACUCUAGCUGACAAUAAAAAUCCAUGGCCACAUCUUCCAGACACCAGGAUCCAAAGCUUGGAGAAAAAAAUACCUACUAAUUAUUGGAAGGGGCUGAAGGAGAGCAUCUCAAAGGCUUUGCAUUUCUCUCCCAGGUUACCAGGCUGAGUUCUGUCUCAGGGAUAACAGACCUUGUUACCUCAGAUUUUUCUCUCUUUUGGACUUCAGUUAAGAAUAGGAGAGGCCUGCAUCAGCUGGUCCUCCCUCAGGAUUCAUGUGAGAAAUUCCUCACCUCAGCAAGGAAGAAAACUAAGAAAGGAAUCUAAACAUGUGGGGUGUUAUGUAGAUGCCUGGAAAAUAUAUAAACAUUUCUUAUCUGAGGCACUUUCCUCCCCCUUGCCUUUCUAUGAUUCUCAGGGAACAUAUCUAGGGUGUCUAUCCAUAUAUAUGAUACUAGAUUAGGAGCUAUGAGUGACAAAGCCAGGCACCUUAAAUUUGAUGACUUUGUAUGUGGUUGCUUCUCAGAAUUUUUUAAUUCAACAAUUUUGGUCAAUGAUAUAGUUAGAAAUUUUCAUUCCAGUUGGGGCUAGUGCCAGUAAUUCCAGUCACUGACAUAUUGAGCCUUCCUACAAGUUAAAAAUCAGACUCACAGUCAGAGUGCUAUAUUGUCUUAAAGAGAAGAAGGCAGACCGAAAAUCAGAGAGGCAGACAGCAAGACAUAAGGCAAGAAAAAGACUUGUAAGUUGUAAAAAGAAAAGAAGGACUCAAUUGCUUUUGGGUCCUGGUCUGCUUUUGGGUCCUUACCUACUCUGGUAAGCCUUGGAAUAUAAAUUAUCUUAUAACCUCCAGACUCCUAAGAAGACUUGCAGGUUGAUGCAGGGAAGUGCAUAGGUUCAGAAGGUGUCAGGUUCUACUCAACAUCUGUUCCUUUAUACUGUACCUCAACAAAAGACAAGAGCACCCAAGGUCUUAAAACACCAAAGGGAGAAAAAGCACUGAGAUUCAUACCCUGGUGUGGGCUGGGGCUUCAUGAGUGUUUUGAGAGGGUCUAAGACCUCCAAGUAUUGUGAUGUUAUCUCUCGGCAGGUUGGACAAGAGUAUCAGGUGACCAACAUUGUCAGGAAGGAGACACACAUUACUGUUUUACUGAAAAUGAGGAGCUCUUUUUCAUCCAAGAAGAACUGGGCCUGCUUACAUUAGGGUGGAUCUAUGUAAGCAAGUAGACCUCAAUGUCCGAUGGUUUCUCUUGUCUGUCUCUUAGAACCAUCUUACAUAAAUCUUGCUCUUAACAGAGUCAAUCCAUUCCUGAUCAUCUCUGAACAUAGCCAAUAGUGUCCAGUUUGAGUCAAAAGAGAAUUUCCUAGUACUUUACAGCUCUUUUUAUUUUACAUCUUACUUGAAGUAAUUCUUCAAAGUUCCAAUUCCAUGUGAGUCUGCUUGCCAAGAUGUAUGAGAAUAACAUAUACAGACCAUACGCCUAAAAGUUGUAGAAAUGAAACUUAAAUAAUCAAGGGUGUCCUAUCUGAUGAGUGUGUUUUUUUAUUUAUGAAGAAGUACUUUGUUUCUGCAUACCUGAAAGCUUCUACAUGCAAGGUAUUCAAGUGGUUGCACCUGCCCAGCACACUUCUGUUGAUUAUCAAGGGAACACAGCAACUGGCCUAGGCCUUCCUUCAAAUGUCUCUCUUAUUUUUAUU
rnacentral:sRNA from 1 species